rnacentral:misc_RNA from 1 species
GAUGAAGAACGUAGCGAAAUGCGAUAAGUAAUGUGAAUUGCAGAAUUCAGUGAAUCAUCGAAUCUUUGAACGCACAUUGCGCCCCUUGGUAUUCCGAGGGGCAUGCCUGUUCGAGCGUCAUUAUAACCCUCAAGCUCAGCUUGGUGUUGGGGCCUGGUGCACUGGCAGCCCUUAAAAUCAGUGGCGGCGCCAUCUGGCUCUAAGCGUAGUAAUUCUUCUCGCUAUGGAGUCCUGGUGGAUGCUUGCCAUCAACCCCCAAUUUUUCUAUGGUUGACCUCGGAUCAGGUAGGGAUACCCGCUGAACUUAAGCAUAUCAAUAAGCGGAGGA